AUGGCGGUUCCCAUGGACCAGGAGAGAGUCUUCCGUACAGCAAGGCCGCCUACAGAAUGCGAACCACGCCCCCUCCCGCCCAGCCACCGGAAGUUUCCUUUUGAAAGCGAGGCGGGCCCGCCAAUCCCCCUCGUGACGAUGACCAGUGUGGUAAAGACGGUGUGCUGCGCGCACGCCUCCCGGCCGAACGGCACCCAGCCAGCAGGUGGGUGUGCACAGCCGCCAGCCCGGGCUCUGGACUGGCCAGGGGUAUCAGCAGCCCGGACUGCGGGGAUCUGAAUCGGUGUUUGGAAAUGGGGCCCAAGGAAGGGCAUCCGGGGGCUCAGACAACUUGCUAGCCCUUCCGGAACCAGGCUGUAUAGGCUUAUAAUGAUAAAAUUUGGGAAAGAGCCCCUGUUCCUACCCAUUUCCACCUCUGUGAUCCCCCUAUGCUGCCAAGUGGAUCCAAAAACUUAAAAAAUAACAGGAUUUAAAGACAAAAACAAAACAGGAUUUCAUCAUGUAGUCCAGACUAGCCUUGAGCUCAUAGCAAUCUUAACCUCAGUUUCCCUCAUGGUAAGAUUUCUAGCUCUGUCACCACACUGGCUAGUAGACCAGGUUGACCUGGAUCUCUCAGAGAUCCACCUGCCUCUGUCUCCUGAGUGCUGGGAUUAAAAGUGUGUACCACCAUACCUGGCUAGAAAUGUCUUUUUAUGCUAUUAUCCUUUUUCUUUCCAGAUUAGGGUUGGUUGAAUCAUUUGAGAAGUGGAAUGCUUGGAGGAAAGCACUAGGAUUCCUUAGUCACACAAAUCUCUGCACAGUGGUUCUCCUGAGCAUAUUGUUGGUAAUUGUUGAGUGGAAGAGAAGGGCCAGGACUAGCAAAUUACUGAGAACUUUGAGAGACAAGAAGAGAAACCCCACUGAAAACAAUUUGUAAUUGCUUUACCAUCUUGCUUUGUGUUUAUUUU
rnacentral:lncRNA from 1 species